GAUGAACGCUGGCGGCGUGCCUAAUACAUGCAAGUCGAGCGAACAGACGAGGAGCUUGCUCCUCUGACGUUAGCGGCGGACGGGUGAGUAACACGUGGAUAACCUACCUAUAAGACUGGGAUAACUUUGGGAAACCGGAGCUAAUACCGGAUAAUAUAUUGAACCGCAUGGUUCAAUAGUGAAAGACGGUUUUGCUGUCACUUAUAGAUGGAUCCGCGCCGCAUUAGCUAGUUGGUAAGGUAACGGCUUACCAAGGCGACGAUGCGUAGCCGACCUGAGAGGGUGAUCGGCCACACUGGAACUGAGACACGGUCCAGACUCCUAAGGGAGGCAGCAGUAGGGAAUCUUCCGCAAUGGGCGAAAGCAUGACGGAGCAACGCCGCGCGAGUGAUGAAGGUCUUCGGAUCGUAAAACUCUGUUAUUAGGGAAGAACAAAUGUGUAAGUAACUAUGCACGUCUUGACGGUACCUAAUCAGAAAGCCACGGCUAACUACGUG
rnacentral:rRNA from 1 species